AUUUCAUUUUUCAGCCUUCAAAACAAAAGGAGUUUAAAAAACUCUCUCAACCCCUUUUAUCUCCCUUCUCCCUUCUUCACCGGCCAAUAGGGCUCUGGUCGCCGGAAAUCGAAAAAAGGGUGGUUGGCGGCAGAGCAGUUGGAGUGGUUGAUGCUAGGGGCGGUGGCUGACGGCUAGGGAAGAAGACCUAGGUGCGGCGCACCUAGGGUUUGAAAUUUUUUGUUUUUUCUGUUAUGGGUUUGGGCUAGGUUAGGGUUUGUAAUGGGUUUGUUUCUGUUUAAUUGUGGUUUGGGCUGACAUGAUGGGUUUGAUGAAAUUAGGACUUUUGAUGUUGUAAAUAGACUUUAAUAAUUUUGGACUUUAUUUUAUAUUUGUGUUUUUUUAUUGAUUUGGGCUCGGGUUGGGCAAAAUAA